UUAAUUUCAUAAAGUUCAUCAGCUCAAGUUGCCACUAGUUUUAGAGAAAAUACUAGAAAAAGGGAGAGCCAUCUACUAGCUUAUUGGAAGGAACAUGUCCUCUUUACCCUGCUGUUCUUUCCCUGCUAAAGAAUCUUGUUGUGCCUGAAUAGACACUCAAGAAAAUAAUAACUUUAAAUAUCAUUUCUAACGCCGUCUCGAAACAAUCAAAGAUCAACAGAAAACAUCCAUGGUUUCUCUAGUUUUGUCUUGUCGGUUGUCAAGAUAAGUUUCACAUGUUGGUUGCAUAUAAUAGGAUAUUGGAGAAUUAAAAGUAUUUUAGUUCGACUACAGGAGUAUUUUUACUCUCUCAGGGAAAGUACGAAAUUGCUUGGAAGUAUGAAAUAGUCGAGUAAGAAAUAUCUAAUUUUAAAUUAGUCAAAAAACAUUAAGGAGGCGUCUAAUUUAUUCAACGAUUCCCUGAAAUUCUACGCGUAUAGGUAAUAAACAGUGGCACUUAA